UUGAGCCGUAUGCGGUGAAAGUCGCACGUACAGUUCUUAGGGGGGCCCUAGCGGACUGUUUGGUUAGUUCAAUAACUUAUUCUUGAU
rfam:Pseudomonas taeanensis MS-3 contig_08, whole genome shotgun sequence.